GUCUCAAUGUUUCCUAGGGUUUGAACAUUGUUUGAUAUUCUGCGGUGCUUGGGCAAUUGGCUGGUUAACAGCAGUUCUCUCGCUGGCCAAUCAGAUUGAAGCACCAUGUUAGAUUUCACUAUUAGAAGCACAGCCUUCAGUUCUUCCUAGAGAGAGCAGAAAGAAGGCUGAAUGCAGGCGCAGCCAUUUUCUUCUACAUUGGAACUCAAUGGCCAAAAUGGGUUUCCUUUGUUCCUAAAGGGAUCUAAAUCUUGAUUUCAUCAGCCUUUUAUGGACUAUUUAAUACAUUACAGUGUUUCUCUUUACAGGAUCUGAGAAGAAGGAAGAUAAAAUGUUGGAUGAUAUCCCUUUGAUAUUUUUAACUUUUUUGCUCUUCCUGGAAACCAUCUUUGUCCCAGCAAACUAGGUCAUGGCACACCCAUAUAACAGCAUUUUAUUAUUUAGUAAAAUGCUAUUUAAUAAACUCUUUGAUUUGUAUGACUAACUACAAUGUUUAAAAAGAAAAGAAAAAAAUCACAUGAAAGUUAUCAACUGCUUUUAAGGCCCUAUCUUGUUCAGGGGUUUGGGUUGCAUUAAUCAAUAAGUAAGUUAAUCUUUAUUGUCUUUGCUUAUUUAGCUGCAGGUAAAGCUGUUUUAUUGCUAAUUAAACUGAAGUAUUUUAUUGUAACUUUAUUGUCAUUUGACUGGAUUAUUUCGUUUUUAGUGAUCCCUGAAGAUGAAUGUCAUUAGUUCAAACAAGGCAGGCCAUAGAGAGAAAGGACGAUUGGCCUUUUACAAAAUUGCUGAAUCACAGGCCUAUACGCCGAAGAAGAAAGAGGAACAUUUUGAUUCCCAUCGUCGGAUCCUUUCACACUGGUUUUAAAGAAGGGGGUUGGGUUGCGACGCCUAAAAGGAAGAAAACAACAAUAACAAUUUUCUGACUUGGCUUUUCAAAAUAAUUCAUCAUUUGACACAACUACGCAGUCACUAACGUGUGGACCUUCUGAAAAUCUUGAGGCACUUUUACAUAUUGCAAUAUGCAAACAAUCCCCCUCUCUUUCUCUUCCUGAAGACAGGAUGACAAGAGAAAUUCAUUCGCUCUUCAUCAUUCAGAGGAGAGAAAAUACCAUCCACACGUUUUUAUUCCGAAGGUAAUCGUUUUUAUACCUUCUGUGUAUAUUAGAAAUACUUGGGAACACUGUUUUUACAGGUAACAUUUAAAACAAAACUUAUCACAAAUUUUAAUCUUACAAGUACUGCUCUGGUUUAACUGGGGAUGUAUUGUUAAUAAAAUGGAUACACGUGUAAAAAUCAAUAUUCCAGACACCUUUUUG